rnacentral:rRNA from 1 species
AUACGGAGGAUCCGAGCGUUAUCCGGAUUUAUUGGGUUUAAAGGGAGCGUAGGUGGACAGUUAAGUCAGUUGUGAAAGUUUGCGGCUCAACCGUAAAAUUGCAGUUGAUACUGGCUGUCUUGAGUACAGUAGAGGUGGGCGGAAUUUGUGGUGUAGCGGUGAAAUGCUUAGAUAUCACGAAGAACUCCGAUCGCGAAGGCAGCUCACCGGGCCGGAACUGACACUGAUGCUCGAAAGUGCGGGUAUCAAACAGGAUUAGAUACCCUGGUAGUCCGCACAGUAAACGAUGAAUACUCGCUGUUUGCGAUACACGGUAAGCGGCCAAGCGAAAGCGUUAAGUAUUCCACCUGGGGAGUACGCCGGCAACGGUGAAACUCAAAGGAAUUGGCGGGG